rnacentral:snoRNA from 1 species
AUCCUUUUCCAGUUCAUAAGUAUAUAAGUAUUACGAUUGGUAUUCACGCACUUCCGUGACAUGUGCCUCUCUUAAAUCUUGUUACGCAUUUGGCACAUUACCCAUCUGAGG